AAUCAGCAGAUAAAAAAAAAAGGGAAAAGAAAAACCACCAUUUGCGUAAUCUUCGAACCCUCCUCUCUCUCUCUCUGGUGUUUCCCUAUAUAUCGACUAUGUCGCCAUUGCUGAUAAUGGAAGCAUAAGAAAUGCGAAACAAUAACAAAGAAAUCUCGAGACAUCGAGAGGACGAGAGAAGUGGGGAUGUAUUUUAAUGCCCACCGUGAUAGUAUGGUAGGGUUUUGACAGAUCUAUGAGAGACGAAGCCGAAGUCGAGAUCUUUCUAGGGGAAUCCAUCUGGGUUUUGUGGAUAAUAUAGGCGUCGAUGAGUGCUUCCACGGCGGAAUUUGAACCAUUUUUUAAAAGGGUGCAGAUAAGGUGACUGAGGAAAUGCAAACUAUGACUGACAGAAGAGAGUGAGCACAUGCAGGCAUUUGUAUGACUCCAUACCAUUGUGUGUGCGUGCUCACCUCUCUUUCUGUCAGUUGUUUUUCUCCGUUUUCUAUCUCUCUCUCUGGAUUUUUUUUUCUUCCUAGGUAAAGCAAACUCUGAGCAUAUCACUAUCACAUCACGCACUACUGAGUCUCGUUCUUAUCUUCAACCUCAUUUCCUUUUUUGUCUUUUCCGUCUCAUCUGUCUGUGCUUUGGUUGGUGAUAUGGAUAAGAUCGACACAGUUUCUUUAGCUUUUGUCAUGUGUGUGUGUGUGUAUGUACCUGUCUGUGUAUGUAUUCUGUGUGCGAGUGUGUUUGUGGGUGGUCUUGUGUUGUGUUUAAGUGGGGGGCAGACGUAUGAUCAUAGGAAUGUUUGUUUUCUGGUGGGCAUUUUUGUGGGGAAAGUUCCGAUUUUUAUUUUAUAUUAUAUGUGGAUACUAUGUUUUAUCACUGAUUUAUUCAAGUGGAUCUUGGAAAAGCUCGAGUUUUGAUAGUCCUGCUGGCCUUUGAAGAAACCGAAGCUUCAUAUGAAGAGUACUUUACCGUAGAAGCUGAUCUGGACGUGGAUCCCUCAACGUGUUUUAACCAUUCUUGUGUACAAUGUAGGCCGGAAAGUUGGAAAGGUCUACAGCAUGUUUCUUCCCGUGGAUGCGCAAACUUCCGUUAUCUGCAUAAUGGCUUGUGAAGAGACCAUGAUGAUUAAGCAAUACCGGGAUACGAUAACGUGUUUGCAUCGGAUUGCAUUUGGAGGAGUUCCAUCGAUAGGAGGCUUGAAGAGAAAUAAGGUUGAAUGAGGGGAGGUGAUAUGAUAUAUGGGAAAUGCUGUACCAAAAGCGCCUUUUGCCCUAAUGGGGAGGUUGAAAUCUCCUCCUCUCUCAAAGAUUUGCCCUAAUGAAAUCAUGGGUUGCUUAAAUAACCGGGUUUUAAGAAACGGCUCGCACGGUAAACACUUGGUUUUUUGUUUGUGCAUUGGAUGAUAUGUGCUUUCGCUUAUCUUAGAUUUGCAACAUCAUCUUUUGCAUACGUAGCGUUGCUUAUCAUUAGCUGAAGAAGAGGACACGUACACUAGCCUUUGUGGUUGAUGUUUUGUCUUAAAGCUUUUGUUCUCUUCGUAACACACUCGAUGGAAAUCUAAGAAUACAGUCUUAACUUAUUGGAUGGAU